rnacentral:tmRNA from 1 species
GAUACAGGUGUAUGGUGAAACGUCUGGCCGAAAGGCUGGAAGCUUGAUAAUUCAAGAUUGGGGUCGAGACCCCGGCAAAAGAAUAAGUGCUAAAUCUAACCGCACUGAGUUCGCUCUCGCUGCCUGAUUUUUAGUCAGGAUUAACCAGUGAGCAGCCGCUCCGUUCACUCCUCUUCGUCUUUGGGAGGAUGCUGAGCGUCGUUAAGAAGACUUGCUGAUGGAGUUGAGCCUCAGGGCUCCAUCGGGACUUUUACUGCGGAUAUGCUCGCCAUCAGUUGUCUGCGACAGCGAUGGGGGCAGAAAAACCGCCAACUUGGCCAGCAGACUACGCACGUAGAAGACUGUGGGCUCGGUCAUCGGACCGGGGUUCGAUUCCCCGC